UGCAGGUUGCAGUUGGAGGGAGUGGAUUUUUCUGCUACUUUCAGAUUCUGAUGCCCAUAGUUGCUGGUUAGAGGGGAUUGGAGGUCCUCCUGGAAGAGGCUGGUUGUUGAUGGACAGCUUCAGUGCCUGAGGGUGCUGGAUGCCCUGAAGUAGGAAAGGAACUUGUAGCAGAGGCUUACCACAAAGUACCAGAUGUUUCGAGCCAUCUGUGACCUUGCGAUGAAAAUGCGCCAGAUGAUCACGAGGAGGGUGGUGUUAAAUGCAUACCGGAUAUUCCUUAGUUUUCGUAAGUGCUGCUUUGCUGCAGGGAUGCCAGACAUGUCC
rnacentral:lncRNA from 1 species